GCUUAAAUAGUCUAAAAGGAUGACAAUUUGUGGUGUUGUAGGUGCAUGUAUGUGUUUUAGGUU
rnacentral:tRNA from 1 species